UUGGGGCUUUUAGUGUAAGCCAGUGUGUCACAGUCCUGAUUUGUCAUCCUCAAAACAAAAUCAUUGACGUUAGCGAGCUAGCCAACUGGCUGCUCACUAUCACAGAUUUAGACUGGUUUGUGAA